rnacentral:rRNA from 1 species
GAUGAACGCUAGCGGCAGGCCUAACACAUGCAAGUCGAGGGGUAACAGGGAAAGCUUGCUUUCCGCUGACGACCGGCGAACGGGUGCGUAACACGUAUGCAACCUACCUUCCACUGGGGUAUAGCCCAGAGAAAUUUGGAUUAAUCCCCCAUAGAACCAAGAGUCGCAUGGCUCAAUGGUUAAAGGAUUCCGGUGGAAGAUGGGCAUGCGUCCCAUUAGCUAGUAGGUGAGGUAACGGCUCACCUAGGCAACGAUGGGUAGGGGGUCUGAGAGGAUGAUCCCCCACACUGGUACUGAGACACGGACCAGACUCCUACGGGAGGCAGCAGUGAGGAAUAUUGCGCAAUGGACGAAAGUCUGACGCAGCCAUGCCGCGUGAAGGAUGACUGCCCUAUGGGUUGUAAACUUCUUUUAUAUACCAAGAAACCUCAGGACGUGUCCUGAGCUGACGGUAGUAUAUGAAUAAGCACCGGCUAACUCCGUGCCAGCCGCCGCCGUAACAC